CCCUUAGGUGUCCGGGGCCGCACGCGCGCUACACUGAAGGAAUCAGCGUGGCUUUCUCCCUGACCCGAAAGGGUUGGGAAACCCGUUGAAUCUCCUUCGUGAUAGGGAUUGGGGCUUGAAAUUGUUCCCCAUGAACGAGGAAUUCCCAGUAAGCGCGAGUCAUAAGCUCGCGUUGAUUACGUCCCUGCCCUUUGUACACACCGCCCGUCGCUACUACCGAUUGAACGGUUUAGUGAGGGCCUCGGAUUGGUCUCGGCCCGCUCUUUACCGGGCGGCGCCGUUGGUCGAGAAGACGCUCGAACUUGAUCGUUUAGAGGAAGUAAAAGUCGUAACA
rnacentral:rRNA from 1 species